UUCAAGGCAGUUGAUUUUGACAGAAUUGGGAAAAUUAUGCAUGUGCAGUUUUUGCAUCCUUUCCAGACCAUCUUAACAAGAUGCCCAAUAAACCCUGGUAAAUUAGGACAUCUACACAAGCUGGUGAGGCAAGUGAUAAUCCUGUAACUGUGUCUGCAUCUCCUGAACUGCUGAACUCAUCAACCUCGGAUCUGGAUCAUUAACACAAUGCUGAAUUCAGACUUAAAGCUCUGAAGUGUUAAAAUCCUGUAUUCAUCUGCCAGAAUCAGCUAUCCAGUUUGUGAGAUACAGCGGUGCGAUAACUGGUUGCCAAACUCCUCUGUUAGCUCCCAGCCAAAUGGGCCGAGUGUGCUGGCAGCCUCACUGCAGACAGAUAAUAUUCUUAUUAUGUACACAUUCCCACUGCGGAAUGAUUAGAUAAAUGUGAGUGCAUGUGUGCUGUUAUUGUUGCAUUAAUUAUUCAUUGGCUAUUACUUCUCUGUGAAUAUCCGUUUUAUCCCUCAGGAUCUCGUAUUUUUUCUCGCAUGUAUGUCCACUGAAUGGCAAGUAACUGCAAGCACACAGUGAGUCAUCACUGCCUGCAAAGCCACACAAGUCGAUGCCUGCCGACUUCUAGCGACCAAUUACUCACUAGGUCGUCGCUGUGUCACAGGGCGACUGAGUUGUCAGCAGUGCCACUGAGCAGGCUGUGCUUUGGUCUGUGGCUGGGAUUGGAUGGAAGGGUGAGGGUUGAGAGGCCCUUUCCAUUGUGUCGGGCUGACAGACCACUGGACAGCUUGGCGGCCAGGCGGUGCACAUCAGCACUCCAGCCCCAGUUCCACAGAAGCGGCAGGUCACUUCCAGGACCUUGAGAAAAUAAGCGAGUCAGACUCCAUUUGUUUUCCGUCUCUGUUCCCUGGGGAAUCAAAGAGGAAGACAUUUCCAGCCGUCCCGCCUGACUGGGUCCGACUCACUUAAGAGGUCCGUUUUCGCCUUGCUCCCUCCAAGCUUUCUUCACACAUCUAGCAGACAUAGCAUGAGGGACAGUUGUGGCUCAGCUUGGCAAGAAUAGCAGGACGAGCGGGGAGUGGAAGAGGCACCACUUGCUGGCAGGGAGGCAGCUAAGAGGACAAACAACACUGUGGAGAAAUGAGAGGGAGCAUUAUAAAGGCCAAAGACCCAGAAUAGACCUUUAUCUUUUUCAGGAGGAAAGCAAAUAUGCUGUAUGAGUGUGUUUGGGAUGUGUUUACAUGUGCACAUUUAUUGAUAUUUUCUCUUUAACUGGUUAUUGGAAAGUCUCUCAAACAACAGGUUACCCAUCGUUAUUUCUUGUACAUUUCCACUGGUGAAAAGUGAAUAAAAUGUAAUUUUUCCUCUUGGGGAUGGAGCCAAAGUGGAGAAGCAAUUCAGCAAACGUCUGGUGAAAAAUGGCACUUCUGCAAUGAUUAAGGGUAUGCAUUUCUAGAAAACCAAAGGCAGGAAGAGUCACGGCAAAGAAAGAGAUAGUGUGAGAUAACAACUUGAGAGUCGUUAGUAAGACAGGUGUGGAGGUAAAAAUGUGGUUUCUGUCACCUUUUGCUACACUUCAACACACAGAGCGACAGGACAAAUCAGCGAGAGCGGGGCAGCUUUGCAAUUUUAAGGCUCUUUACAAAAUGAGAUGUCCAUCAUUGUACAAAUACUGUAUGAUACCUGCUCUCCAAGAAUGACUCUUGACAUGUAAGUCAAGUUUUUUUGUUUUUUU